AUGGCUCAGGAUGAACGCUAGCGACAGGCCUAACACAUGCAAGGUCGAGGGGCAGCGCGGGAGAAGCUUGCUUUCCUGGCGGCGACCGGCGCACGGGUGCGUAACAGGUGUGCAAUCUGUCCAUAGUCGGGGGAUAGCCCAGCGAAAGCUGAAUUAACACUCCAUGUGAAUCGAAGCCGCAUGACUUUGAUUUGAAACGCAAGGACUAUGGGUGGGCACGCUUCUGAUUAGGUAGUUGGUGGGGUAACGGCCCACCAAGCCGACGAUCAGUAGGGGUUCUGAGAGGAAGGUCCCCCACAUUGGAACUGAGACACGGUCCAAACUCCUACGGGAGGCAGCAGUGAGGAAUAUUGGUCAAUGGGCGAGAGCCUGAACCAGCCAAGUCGCCGUGAAGGAUGAAGGUUCUAUGGAUUGUAAACUUCUUUUGUCCGAGGGUAAAAAAGGCCACGUGUGGCUUCUUGCAAGUAUCGGACGAAUAAGCAUCGGCUAACUCCGUGCCAGCCGCGGC
rnacentral:rRNA from 1 species